rnacentral:tRNA from 1 species
GUUCAACGGUUAGCAUACCAGGCUCUUAACCUGCGUUGUCUGGGUUUGAAUCCCAGUAGU